rnacentral:tRNA from 1 species
AUCAAGCUGGCGGCGAAAUACCGCGCGCCGCUGCUGCCGGCGUGGAUCCGCGCCCACAACAGUCCGCUGUUCUACGCCAGCGCCCUGAUC